rnacentral:rRNA from 1 species
UACGGAGGAUCCGAGCGUUAUCCGGAAUUAUUGGGUUUAAAGGGUGCGUAGGCGGCCAUUUAAGUCAGCGGUGAAAUUUUGCAGCUCAACUGUAAAAGUGCCUUCGAAACUGGUUUCCUUGAGUGUAGAUGAAGUAGGCGGAAUUUGUGGUGUAGCGGUGAAAUGCAUAGAUAUCACGAGGAACUCCGAUUGCGCAGGCAGCUUACUAAACUACUACUGACGCUCAGGCACGAAGGCGUGGGGAUCAAACAGGAUUAGAUACCCUGGUA